ACAUUUUGAUUUUGCUUGCAAAAUCUCGUGCUGACGAGCGGCGAACGGGUGAGUAACGCGUAGGAAUCUACCUAGUAGAAGGGGAUAGCCCGAGGAAACUCGGAUUAAUACCGUAUACGUCCUUAGGGAGAAAGAGGGCUUAGCUUUGAUGCUCUCGCUAUUAGAUGAGCCUGCGUAAGAUUAGCUUGUUGGUGAGGUAAAGGCUCACCAAGGCGACGAUCUUUAGCUGGUCUGAGAGGACGAUCAGCCACAUUGGGACUGAGACACGGCCCAGACUCCUACGGGAGGCAGCAGUGGGGAAUAUUGGACAAUGGGCGCAAGCCUGAUCCAGCCAUACCGCGUGUGUGAAGAAGGCCUUCGGGUUGUAAAGCACUUUAAGUAAGGAAGAAAAGAGUAUUGUUAAUACCAGUACUCCGUGACAUUACUUACAGAAUAAGGACCGGCUAAUUCCGUGCCAGCAGCCGCGGUAAUACGGAAGGUCCAAGCGUUAAUCGGAAUUACUGGGCGUAAAGCGCGCGUAGGUGGUUUAUUAAGUUGGGUGUGAAAGCCCCGGGCUCAACCUGGGAACUGCAUCCAAAACUGAUUCACUAGAGUACGAAAGAGGAAAGUAGAAUUCACAGUGUAGCGGUGGAAUGCGUAGAUAUUGUGAAGAAUACCGAUGGCGAAGGCAGCUUUCUGGUUCUGUACUGACACUGAGGUGCGAAAGCGUGGGUAGCGAACAGGAUUAGAUACCCUGGUAGUCCACGCCGUAAACGAUGACAACUAGCUGUUGGGAAGCUAUGCUUUUCAGUGGCGCAGCUAACGUCUUAAGUUGUCCGCCUGGGGAGUACGGCCGCAAGGUUAAAACUCAAAUGAAUUGACGGGGACCCGCAC
rnacentral:rRNA from 1 species